UACAGAGACUGCAAGCGUUAUUCGGAUUUACUGGGCGUAAAGGGCGCGUAGGCGGUCGUGACAAGUCACUUGUGAAAUCUCCGGGCUUAACUCGGAACGGUCAAGUGAUACUGUCGGACUAGAGUACAGAAGGGGCAACUGGAAUUCUCGGUGUAGCGGUGAAAUGCGUAGAUAUCGAGAGGAACACCUGCGGCGAAGGCGGGUUGCUGGGCUGAUACUGACGCUGAUGCGCGAAAGCCAGGGGAGCGAACGGG
rnacentral:rRNA from 1 species